AUGUUGCACAAUGGGGGAAACCCUGAUGCAGCGACGCCGCGUGAGUGAAGAAGUAUUUCGGUAUGUAAAGCUCUAUCCGCAGGGACGAAAAUGACGGUACCUGAGUAAGAAGCCCCGGCCAACUACGUGCCAGCAGCCGCGGUAAUACGUAGGGGGCAAGCGUUAUCCGGAUUUACUGGGUGUAAAGGGGGCGUAGACGGUCAUGGAAGUCUGGAGUGAAAGGCGGGGGCUCAACCCCCGGACUGCUGUGGAAACUGUAGAACUAGAGUGCAGGAGGGGUAAGUGGAAUUCCUAGUGUAGCGGUGAAAUGCGUAGAUAUUAGGAGGAACACCAGUGGCGAAGGCGGCUUACUGGACUGUAACUGACGUUGAGGCUCGAAAGCGUGGGGAGCAAACAGG
rnacentral:rRNA from 1 species